rnacentral:rRNA from 1 species
GAUGAACGCUGGCGGCGUGCCUAAUACAUGCAAGUCGAGCGAACAGACGAGGAGCUUGCUCCUCUGACGUUAGCGGCGGACGGGUGAGUAACACGUGGAUAACCUACCUAUAAGACUGGGAUAACUUCGGGAAACCGGAGCUAAUACCGGAUAAUAUAUUGAACCGCAUGGUUCAAUAGUGAAAGACGGUUUUGCUGUCACUUAUAGAUGGAUCCGCGCCGCAUUAGCUAGUUGGUAAGGUAACGGCUUACCAAGGCAACGAUGCGUAGCCGACCUGAGAGGGUGAUCGGCCACACUGGAACUGAGACACGGUCCAGACUCCUACGGGAGGCAGCAGUAGGGAAUCUUCCGCAAUGGGCGAAAGCCUGACGGAGCAACGCCGAGUGAAUGAUGAAGGUCUUCGGAUCGUAAAACUCUGUUAUUAGGGAAGAACAAAUGUGUAAGUAACUAUGCACGUCUUGACGGUACCUAAUCAGAAAGCCACGGCUAACUACGUG